ACGCAAGUCGAGGGGUAACAUAGUUUGCUUGCAACUGAUGACGACCGGCGCACGGGUGCGGAACGCGUAUGGAACCUGCCCCUGUCAGGGGAAUAGCCCAGGGAAACUUGGAUUAAUGCCCCAUGGUAUCGUUUUAUCGCAUGAUAAGGUGAUUAAAGAUUUAUCGGACAGGGAUGGCCAUGCGUACCAUUAGUUAGAUGGUGGGGUAACGGUCCACCAUGGCAGCGAUGGUUAGGGGCCCUGAGAAGGGGAUCCCCCACACUGGUACUGAGACACGGACCAGACUCCUACGGGAGGCAGCAGUGAGGAAUAUUGGACAAUGGGCGGGAGCCUGAUCCAGCCAUGCCGCGUGCAGGAUGACGGCCCUAUGGGUUGUAAACUGCUUUUAUACGGGAAGAAACGCACCUACGUGUAGGUGUCUGACGGUACCGUAAGAAUAAGGACCGGCUAACUCCGUGCCAGCAACCGCGGUAAUACGGAGGGUCCGAGCGUUAUCCGGAAUCAUUGGGUUUAAAGGGUCCGUAGGCGGGCAUGUAAGUCAGGGGUGAAAGUUUGUGGCUCAACCAUAAAAUUGCCUUUGAUACUGCAUGUCUUGAGUCAUGGUGGGGUUGCCGGAACAUGUGGUGUAGCGGUGAAAUGCAUAGAUAUCACAUAGAACACCGAUCGCGAAGGCAGGUGACCAACCAUGUACUGACGCUGAUGGACGAAAGCGUGGGCAGCGAACGGGAUUAGAUACCCCGGUAGUCCACGCCGUAAACGAUGGAUACUAGCUGUGGGGACUUCGGUCUCCGUGGCCAAGCGAAAGUGAUAAGUAUCCCACCUGGGGAGUACGUUCGCAAGAAUGAAACUCAAAGGAAUUGACGGGGGCCCGCACAAGCGGUGGAGCGUGUGGUUUAAUUCGAUGAUACGCGAGGAACCUUACCAGG
rnacentral:rRNA from 1 species